rnacentral:rRNA from 1 species
UACGGGGGGGGCAAGCGUUGUUCGGAAUUACUGGGCGUAAAGGGCUCGUAGGUGGCCAACUAAGUCAGACGUGAAAUCCCUCGGCUUAACCGGGGAACUGCGUCUGAUACUGGAUGGCUUGAGUUCGGGAGAGGGAUGCGGAAUUCCAGGUGCAGCGGUGAAAUGCGUAGAUAUCUGGAGGAACACCGGUGGCGAAGGCGGCAUCCUGGACCGAUACUGACACUGAGGAGCGAAAGCCAGGGGAGCAAACGGG